GUCUUCUCAUUGAGGUCCUCUCUGUCCACUAGUGGCAGCUUAUGGAUUCUCAUGGGAAGAAGAGACAAUUUACAGAGAUAGCAUGCACUUGCCUUCUCUCUUAGGAGGCAUAUUUUGCUAUUUUGUGAGACCUGG